rnacentral:rRNA from 1 species
UUCAGAGGUGGCAAGCGUUGUUCGGAAUUACUGGGCGUAAAGGGCGCGUAGGCGGUCGCCUAAGUCAGACGUGAAAUCCCUCAGCUCAACUGGGGAACUGCGUCUGAGACUGGCCGGCUUGAGUGCAGGAGAGGAACGCGGAAUUCCAGGUGUAGCGGUGAAAUGCGUAGAUAUCUGGAGGAACACCGGUGGCGAAGGCGGCGUUCUGGACUGCUACUGACACUGAGGAACGAAAGCCAGGGGAGCAAACGGG